GGUGAAGGAGCUCAGUGGACGUAUGAAUGGAGAGCAGCCAAGUUAAACACACCUCCAACAUCCAGUGAACACAGAAUCAUCAGAGCUACUGAGUCUGACAGUGGAGGAUACAGCUGCCGGGGCAGAAGGGACUAUUUCUUCUCAGAGUGGAGUGAUAUCAUCACACUGACUGUAUCAUUGAAGAGAACAAAACAUAUGAGAGUAACUUCUCUGCUGUGCAGCUCUAAUACAUGAAAGAUGAAAUGCAGAACAAAUGCUGAAUCUGUCUCAGCUGCUCCACCACAUCCACUAAGAAACAUUAAAUCCACUGAUUGGUUCACAGCAUAAAACAACAGAGUGGAGUGAUUCAGUUUCUGACAAUAAACCCCGUCCUGUCCUCACUGUGUCUCCAUCAUGGCUGAGUCCUGGAGCCUCAG